UAGGUGAACCUGCGGAAGGAUCAUUACUGGGUUAGCCUCCGGGCGCAACUCCACCCUUUGUAACCGCGGCCCGGAUUCGGCGCCUGGCGGAGGGCACCCCCCGCUCGCGGGGGCCUCCGCCUGCCGGAAUCAGCCAACCCUGCCUGGAAAAUCGAAGUCUGAGAACGAGUUAAAUCGAACAAAACUUUCAACAACGGAUCUCUUGGUUCUGGCAACGAUGAAGAACGCAGCGAAAUGCGAUAAGUAAUGUGAAUUGCAGAAUUCAGUGAAUCAUCGAAUCUUUGAACGCACAUUGCGCCCCCUGGUAUUCCGGGGGGCACACCUGUUCGAGCGCCAUUUCUACCCUGGAGCCACGCUCUGUGAUGGGCCCCGUCCUCGCGGACAGGCCCGAAACCCGUGGGCGCCGUCGUCCGGCCCUGAGCGUAGCAAGAGAAAUCCCUCGCUCGGAGUGCCUGGCGGCCGGUCGCCCCGAACCCAUUUCUACAAGGUUGGCCUCGGAUCAGGUGGCAGCCAAGCCCC
rnacentral:rRNA from 1 species